UUCUCGAGCGCGGGGCCCCGCAGGGCCACGGGGAGGCGGAGGACAGAAACGGGGAGCCUUUCGAGCCAGCCUGAGCCUGAGUGCGAGCUCUGUCCCUCAGAGCUCGGGACUAGGCGCAAAGCGAGUGGCCCACCAGAACUCCCGCUCUGGAGGAGGCCCGAGUCUGGGAGGGGAGAGAGGUGGAGAAACCGAAUCUCAUCUCCGUGAAGGCAGUGGUUUUUGUCUGUUGUCUGCUGUAUUCCCUGUGCCUGAGAUGUGACUGGCAGGUGGGUCCAGUGUAACUACACCAUCUUUACAAGAGAGAGACAGAAGGAUAUUCGACACAGACAGAAGAGGAGAAGGUGACGUGACCACAGAGGCAGAGAUCAGAAUGAUGUGGCCACAAGCCAAGGAGUGUCAGCCACCAUCAGAAUUCAGCCACCAGGAUUCUCCCCUGGAGCUUCUGGAGGGGGCACAGCCUUGAUGACAUCUGAUUUCUCCCCAGUAAUAUAGAUUUUGAAUUUUUGCCUUCCAGACCUGUGUGAGAAUAAAUUUCUGUUGUU